CGGACGGGUGAGUAAUGUCUGGGAAACUGCCUGAUGGAGGGGGAUAACUACUGGAAACGGUAGUUAAUACCGCAUAACGUCGCAAGACCAAAGAGGGGGACCUUCGGGCCUCUUGCCAUCGGAUGUGCCCAGAUGGGAUUAGCUAGUAGGUGGGUAACGGCUCACCUAGGCGACGAUCCCUAGCUGGUCUGAGAGGAUGACCAGCCACACUGGAACUGAGACACGGUCCAG
rnacentral:rRNA from 1 species